GGAGAUGUACCCAAGUGGCUGAAGGGUCCGCACUCGAAAUGCGGUAGGUCGGGGAACCGGCGCGAGGGUUCAAAUCCCUCCAUUUCCG
rnacentral:tRNA from 1 species